GCACACUGCGGGUCUGCAUGUCCCUGAGCUCACAGGUGUGUUUGCUUCUCUUUUGCCUUAUACGUGGCCUGGUGGGUGCUCUGGAGGCAGUGCUGGAUUCCAACACUGAGGGCGCUCCCUUUCAAGUUCUGCUUCAAGUUCCCGGCUCACAGGUGUACUCUCCCAUAGCAUGUGGAGAGUUCCUGGAUGGAUGCAAUGUUCACUGGGCCAUAGCCACUGGUAAUGCCCGGGGAGCCUCACCUGAUUUCAGAAGCUCUGGCUCUCCUUCACAUGUCUGUCUCUUUCUUAGUGAUCAGAAGCACACUGAUCUAUGAGCGGUUUUCCCAGGUGUGUGCGUGUGUGGUAAUAGCCGGGGGCAAAGUGCAAGGGCUGUGUCCGACUUGGGCAGUCUCCACCCCAUGUUGCACGUCUGUGCCAAGAGACUGCAUCACUGGGCUGCCGGGUGCUGAGGAAGUUUUCCUUGGGUCGACACAGGCAUUACUUGGGCGUCUUGCAUGUCGUUGACUCGC